UGAGGAAUUUUGCGCAAUGGGAGCAAUCCUGACGCAGCAACGCCGCGUGGGUGAUGAAGCCCUUCGGGUCGUAAAGCCCUGUCAGGCGGGAAGAAUGUCCCGGGAUUGAACAGGUUCCGGUACUGACGGUACCACCAGAGGAAGCACCGGCUAACUCCGCGCCAGCAGCCGCGGUAAUACGGGGGGUGCACGCGUUAUUCGGAAUUACUGGGCGUAAAGCGCGUGUAGGCGGUCCUGCAAGUCUGAUGUGAAAGCCCCGGGCUUAACCCGGGAAGUGCAUUGGAAACUGUGGGACUUGAGUACUGGAGAGGAUGGGGGAAUUCCCGGUGUAGAGGUGGAAUGCGUAGAGAUCGGGAGGAAUAUCAGUGGCGAAGGCGCCAGGCUGGACGGUAACUGACGCUGAGACGCGAAAGCGUGGGGAGCAAACA
rnacentral:rRNA from 1 species